UAUAACCGAAAUAACCGAACCCGAAAUAAUCGAACCGAAAACCGAACCGAAACCCGAAAUGGCCACCCAGAGAGAAGUGAUGGAUUCGAGACUUGCCGUGUGGUUGCCCGUAGAAAACCCUAGCGCACAUGAACAGGAUGUUUAUGUGGCUCCUCCAGCUUGGGCAAGCUAGUCUCUAUCUCACCUUUGGUUCCUGAAAUAACCAGAACAUUCAAGCCUUUUCUGGAAACUAAUUAUCGAGGCGCUCCCUGAGGGGUCUAUUCUUGUAGCCUUUCCGGCGUUUUCUAGCGCAAAAGCCAAUGCCUUGGAUAGAUCGAUUUUCUCCGAGCUAUGGCCUCUUCCGAAAGGAAGGAUCUGAUUCGAAGCCUCUGCCCUCGUUAAUUCGAGAAACUUCCGAUAUACCCAUUGUUUUAAUGGAAGAAUUGGCCGUAAUCCUUGCCUUUCUAAACUCUUUGCGGGGAUUGAAUUUCUUACAGAAAAAAACGAACAUCAUCAGUUUCACUGAAGGCAAGGCAUUUGCUAAAGCAUCAAGAUUUUGCAUAAAGCUUCUUCUUCAAAUGCUUAACACAGUUUCUUCUAAUAGACUUUAUCACUUGCUCAGAGUCAAUUGCUAGCUCUUUUUACAGAUUCAAGUUUCUAUGCAUUUUUCCCUUACAGUUUCUA